rnacentral:ncRNA from 1 species
ACGAAACUCUGGAGAGCUUCUCAGCGGAGAACACCAAAGGGGUAGCCCGCAAGCAAAGGGUAAAUCUCUCAGGUCAAAGGACAGAGGUA